rnacentral:rRNA from 1 species
CAAUAGCGUAUAUUUAAGUUGUUGCAGUUAAAAAGCUCGUAGUUGGAUUUCAGGUGGGACGCAGCGGUCUCGCAUUGCGUUUGUACUGCUGCAGCCCUCCUUCUUGCCGGGGGCGGCCUCUCGGACUUCACUGUCUGGGGGUCAGAAUCGGCGAUGUUACUUUGAGUAAAUUAGAGUGUUCAAAGCAAGCUUACGCUCUGAAUAUAAUAGCAUGGGAUAACACGACAGGACUCUGGCCUAUCGUGUUGGUCUAUAGGACCAGAGUAAUGAUUAAGAGGGACAGUCGGGGGCAUUCGUAUUCCGUUGUCAGAGGUGAAAUUCUUGGAUUUACGGAAGACGAACAUCUGCGAAAGCAUUUGCCAAGGAUGUUUUCAUUGA